UACGAAGGGUGCAAGCGUUAAUCGGAAUUACUGGGCGUAAAGGGUGCGUAGGCGGUUCGUUAAGUCUGUUGUGAAAUCUCUGGGCUCAACUCAGAGUCUGCUGUGGAAACUGCCGUGCUUGAGUGUGGGAGAGGUGAGUGGAAUUCCCGGUGUAGCGGUGAAAUGCGCAGAUAUCAGGAGGAACACCGAUGGCGAAGGCAGGUCUCUGGGCAUUAACUGACGCUGAGGAGCGAAAGCAUGGGGAGCGAACAGG
rnacentral:rRNA from 1 species